rnacentral:rRNA from 1 species
UACGUAGGGGGCUAGCGUUGUCCGGAAUCAUUGGGCGUAAAGCGCGCGUAGGCGGCCCGGUAAGUCCGCUGUGAAAGUCAAAGGCUCAACCUUUGAAUGUCAGCGGAUACUGCCGGGCUAGAGUCCGGAAGAGGCGAGUGGAAUUCCUGGUGUAGCGGUGAAAUGCGCAGAUAUCAGGAAGAACACCCGUGGCGAAGGCGGCUCUCUGGAACGCAACUGACGCUGAGACGCGAAAGCGUGGGGAGCAAACAGG